rnacentral:lncRNA from 1 species
UGAUUUUUAAUUUUUGCAAAGUAGAGAGAGGACAGAUAUCUACUCCUGAACCUCCAUCGAUCAUUACCCCUUUUAUGUAAUAUCCUUCGCAUUUGAUAGUCAGAUGCAAAGCCUUGUUGUGACCAGAACCUUCUGUGGGUAACUCAUCAUCAGUGAAAGUGAUUCUAUUUGCUUCAAAUAUUCUACGAACCAUUCUUUCUAUUUGAAAUACCGUAGUUUCCUUCGGGACGUAUGCUUCAUUCAACAACUUAAUCAGUGUCUGACAAUGUUCUUUAGAAUGUAGCAGCAGGGAUAAUAAUGAUAUUUGAGCCGGG